AUUGAACGCUGGCGGCAGGCCUAACACAUGCAAGUCGAGCGGUAACACAGAGGAGCUUGCUCCUUGGGUGACGAGCGGCGGACGGGUGAGUAAUGCCUGGGGAUCUGCCCGAUAGAGGGGGAUAACUACGGGAAACUGUAGCUAAUACCGCAUAAUGUCUACGGACCAAAGUGGGGGCUCUUCGGACCUCAUGCUAUCGGAUGAACCCAGGUGGGAUUAGCUAGUUGGUGAGGUAAUGGCUCACCAAGGCGACGAUCUCUAACUGGUUUGAGAGAAUGACCAGUCACACUGGAACUGAGACACGGUCCAGACUCCUACGGGAGGCAGCAGUGGGGAAUAUUGCACAAUGGGCGCAAGCCUGAUGCAGCCAUGCCGCGUGUGUGAAGAAGGCCUUCGGGUUGUAAAGCACUUUCAGCGGGGAGGAAGGGUCACUAGUUAAUACCUAGUGGCAUUGACGUUACUCGCANAAGAAGCACCGGCUAACUCCGUGCCAGCAGCCGCGGUAAUACGGAGGGUGCAAGCGUUAAUCGGAAUUACUGGGCGUAAAGCGCACGCAGGCGGUUUGUUAAGUCANAUGUGAAAUCCCCGAGCUCAACUUGGGAACUGCAUUUGAAACUGGCAAGCUAGAGUCUUGUAGAGGGGGNUAGAAUUCC
rnacentral:rRNA from 1 species